AGCUCAAUUGCUAGAUUAUAUGGUAAGAGUAUGUUUAGUUUUGUAAGAAACUGCCAAACUGUCUUCCAAAGUGACUGUACCAUUUGCAUUCCCACCAGCAAU
rnacentral:pre_miRNA from 1 species